GCCAGGGGCCGAAAUUUGGAUUCAGUGUCUGAUCUUGGGUGAGUAUUUUAACCUCUCUGUGCUGUUUUCUCAUCGGUAAAAUUGGGGAUGUGCUAUUAGCAAUGUUAGAGAAGCAGGGAGUGUGGUUCUGCUUUUCCUCUACUCCGAGCUGCUUCACCAGAAAACCAUUUCCCUGUCUGCUGCUCAGAGGGAUUUAAUAUCAUGGAUCUGCACGUCGUGAUUUCAGUUUGGCAUCCUUGAGUGCCUCUGAGUGACAGAACUUAUCUUAAAAACCAAAGAAGGUGAUAAAAUGAUUCAGGGCUGCAUAAAGCAUUCAAAUAUGGUCAGGGAGAGCUUCAUGGGGCGGAAGAAUCAGGCCUUGAGCUGAGUAGUUACCCAGAAAAUCAGGUCCCGAGUGGCCGCUGAGCUCCAGGCUGAGGCCGGUCAGCCCCUCUCUGAACUUUGGGGAAAGGUCUGUAUGUAACACACCUGAACACAUACCUCUAGCCAGCUCUGUUCUUUUUCUCCUGGAUCAGGGAUUUGGGUGAUAAAUAAAAUGAUAUAGACUGGCCCAACUUCCACCACCUCCCUGGAAGGGAAAGGAAAUAGAACUGAGAAAUGUGUUUAAGAAGGCAUUUUCGUACCAAUUCUUCCCUUUGAUCUACACUGAUAGCUUAAUCAGUUUGUAUCAGUUCCUUGAGGAAACGCACAGGCUUCGGGCUGUUUCUCUGGGUGAUUUAGACACCGGUCCUCUUUCUGGGUGGCUGCUCUCUGCUCUUAACCCUGGGAGGCAGCUCUGCAGCCAGCACUCCCCACACUGUUCCUUUAUUGUAAUAAAGGCCUGUGCUUUAUUCCUGUGUUCUCAGACGCAAGGAGCAAGUGAGGAAGGGGAGAAAAUGGUUCCUGAGGCCCCAGCCAUGUUCUACAGACCCCUCCCUCCAGGAAACACCCACUGUGUCCCCGCCUUGCCAGGAUCCUAAGAGGGCCCAUGGCUCCGGAGGGGUCGGGGGCUGGGGGGCUGAGUUGCCAGAGUGAUAAAACGCUCGUCUGUUAAAAGUCUCUUUUCAUAAUGAUAGCUUUGGGGAAAGAGCUGCUCUAGCCAGCAGCCUGAGUCUCACACACCCGCCCUGAAUUUCACUGGCUGCCUCACUCUCUCUCUCUAUGAAAACCCAGACUUCUCCCUCCCAAACACAGUGCUUUCACUGCUGUGUCAUUUUACCCAAGUUAGCCCAAGAGGCAGAAAAUCCACAUCAUGAGGGACUUCUCCACAUUUAGAGAAUUAUGGCAUUCCAAUUAUGGCAGGGAGGGUCUCUGACAUGUCAAACCAUUGAAGCAAGGAUCAGAUGGACACAGCCUGCAUUUCAGUGGCCAGGGUCCAAAGCCAGCUCUUACGUGGAGAGGUUGCCUGGGUGAUGGAAUUGAGAGAUUUCCAAAGGCUCCCCUCUCCAAACUGUAGCCAUCUGUCAGUCUGUCACUUCACCUGCAGUAUUAUCAUUAAAAUCAGCCAUCCCUUGAUGGACAUAAGUGUAUUCCAGAAGAGAGAACCACACUGCUUCUUAACUUGACUCAUCCACAACUAACUAGCCCCAAGGUGUCCUGAUAACCAGAUGACAGCCAGAGUGGGCAGAGACCUGCAAGAAAGCCAAACCCACCCAUCGACCUAAAGAUGCGGCACUGGGGUCCCAAGAGAUGACACCUGUGCUCCUGACGCCCGGCCCAGGGCUCUUUCUGUUGUGUCACACUGUCAUUGUGGAAAUGAAGAGGCUCUACUUUGAGUAAGCCUGUAAAUGCUUUUGCCUAAGAUAUUUUGUAUGCAUUUCCCUUAGGAAAGCAUGGACUCUCACUGCACACAAGGUUAACCCAAAAGCCACUAGGUAUCCAGACUAGUGGGCUCCCAGCCCUGGCAGGCUCUGAGGAUGCAGAUCAGUCUUGAGGAGGAUGGGUUGCCACAAACGCCCCUGUGAACACUCUUAGGAAAGGCUCUCCCUUAUGAAGACCCUCGUGAUUCCACUGCCGCCUGGGUGAUCCAGCACAGUCUCUGCAUCUCAAGAUCAGCUGACUGGCACCUUAACUCCAUCUGCCAUCUUAACUCCUGUCGCCACAUCAGAUUGGUUAUGGAUUAUUUUCGUCGACACCCGUCACAAAGGACCACAUAUUGUAUGAUUCCACUUAUAUGAAAUGUCCAGGAGAAGCAAACCUAUACAUAAAGAAAGUAGAUCGGCGGUUGCCUACAGCAGGAGGGUGAGACUGGGG
ensembl:lncRNA